rnacentral:rRNA from 1 species
AAGCUCGUAGUUGAAUUUCGGGGUUAGUAGGUUGGUCAUGCCUCUGGUAUGUACUGGUCUCACUGAUUCCUCCUUCCUUAUGAACCGUAAUGCCAUUAAUUUGGUGUUGCGGGGAAUUUGGACUGUUACUUUGAAGAAAUUAGAGUGUUUAAAGCAAGCUAACGCUUGAAUACAUUAGCAUGGAAUAAUGAAAUAGGACGUUCGAUCUUAUUUUGUUGGUUUCUAGGAUUGACGUAAUGAUUAAUAGGGAUAGUUGGGCGAGCGGGCUGGCAAGG